UUAUAAAAUAAGGAUAAACACAGUAAUAACUUAAAAUGGCCUCUAAUCUCACCUGGAGAUACAGUUGUAAGGUUUGAAAUUGAGAAUUACAAGUCCUCUCACGUUGUUCUUCUUUUUCAAGUACGUUUUGGUUACUGAGACCCUCGAAUUCCCAUAUGAAUUGUAGCAGCAGCUAGUCAGUUACUGCAGAGGAGCCCACUGGGCUUGUGAUAGAGACCACGUUGAAUAUGUGGAUUGCUCUGUGGAGCACUGACAUUCCAAGAGCGCUGUCAUCUGAUCCAGGAAUGUGCGUGGUGUGUCUGUCCAGAGUUCUAUGUAUAGUUGGUUACAUUCUAUACAUGGAAAUUUCUCCAAAACUGCUUCCCACGUGUGUCCCAUGGCUCGGAAUGGGGUGGUUCUGCUCAUUGACGGGUGUUGGCCAGAAACCGAAAAUGACAUCCUCCAAGAAGCCUGGGAUUUGUCAGUUAUGUUUUGUCAGUGCUGAUGACUUCAGAAAAUGCUUUCACAGUUCCUCUCCAUCUGAGGCGGCAGCAUGCUCUCUUAGCAGCAUCAGGAGCUCAGGGCCACGGUGCCCUCACCUCCAGUGGCAUCCAUCCAGACACCAGCACUGACACUGGCCGUGCUCAGAACUGCCUCAGCCCUGAAGAUACAACUGACAAAUAGAAGGGGGCCACGCCCUGUUACAGCAGGUGCUCUCACUUUGUGGGUCCUUAUGUAACUGUGCGUUGUUAUUCAGGAUCGCCCAUUCUACAUUGUGUGACGCUGCUGCGGUGUCUCCUAGUUAUUUAUUUAUGCUCCUCCGCUCAGAUGUAAGAAUAUCCUCUUUCGACUUCUUGAUGCAGCUCCUUAAUGAAGAUCUCGUGAAGGAAACUUAGUCAAAACCUGGGAGCAUUCCUAGGAGAGAAUUCAGCAGUGCAGCAUCCUCUCCGAGCUCUAUGAGUUGAUCGGCUUCCACCGCAAGUCUGCCUUCUGCAAGCGGGUGGCCCCCGUGCAGCGCGCGGCCCCCGGCAUCACGGAGCCUGGCGGGAAGGCCUGCUACCGACUCCUUCUGCAGACGCUCCCUGGCUACAGUCUGUCGCUGGAUCUGCAGGACUUCAGCAAAGGUGUUGGAACUAAAACAUUGCUUCAGUCCCAUUAACCAUGCCUGGUUUGGGCCCUGCUGUCCUGUCUCAUCAGGGUGAAUCCUGAUUCGUUUAGAACAGGGCUCAGCAGACUUUUUCUGUCAAGGGCUUGGGAGUAAGUAUUUCAGUGUCUGCAAACCUCCUGAUCUCUGGUGCAGCUGCUCAGCUCUGCUGUUCAGACGCCAGAGCAGCCGGACAUUCCACACACACACAGAGUUUUAUUAACAGCGUUGGCUGGGGCUGGAUUCGGUGUAUGAACUGCAGUUUGUCUCCACAGCUCCUCACUAUUGACGCCUGCACCAGAGCGUGCAUUUGCGACAAUGGGUGAACCUGCACUGACACGUCAUCAUCACCCAGAGCCCAGACUUGACACUAGGAUUUACACUUGGUGGUGUGCACUCUGUGGGUUUGGACAGAUGUGCAAUGACAUGUAUCCGCCGUCACAGCAUCAUACAGAGUAGUCUGUCUUAGUGACCUUAAAAUGCUCCGUGCUGCACCUCAUUCAUUGCUCCUUCCCCUCUAGCCUCUGACAGCCACUGAUCUUUUAGUCUCUUUGGUGUUCCCUUUCCCAGAACACCAUACAGUUGGAAUCAGACAGUUGCGGAACCUUCCCAGAUUGGCUUCUUUCACUUAGUAGUAUGCAUUUAAGGUUCCUCCAUGUCUUUUCCAUGCCUUGAUAACUCAUUUCAUUUUAGCACCAAAUAAUAGUCCAUUUUCUGGCUGGACCACAGUUUAUCCAUUCACCUACUGAAGAACAGCUUAUUUGUUUCUGAGUUCUGGUGAUUAUGAAUAAAGCUGAUAUUAACAUCUGUA